GGUCUUGUAGCUCAGUUGGUAGAGCAUGGUGUUUGUAACCCCAGGGUAGUGGGUUAAAUUCCCGGGACCA
rnacentral:tRNA from 1 species